rnacentral:rRNA from 1 species
CCUACGGGAGGCUGCAGUAGGGAAUAUUGGACAAUGGGGGGAACCCUGAUCCAGCCAUGCCGCGUGUGUGAAGAAGGCCCUCGGGUUGUAAAGCACUUUCAGUGAGGAAGAACGCCUGGUGGUUAAUACCCAUCAGGAAAGACAUCACUCACAGAAGAAGCACCGGCUAACUCCGUGCCAGCAGCCGCGGUAAUACGGAGGGUGCGAGCGUUAAUCGGAAUUACUGGGCGUAAAGCGCGCGUAGGUGGCUUGAUAAGCCGGUUGUGAAAGCCCCGGGCUCAACCUGGGAACGGCAUCCGGAACUGUCAAGCUAGAGUGCAGGAGAGGAAGGUAGAAUUCCCGGUGUAGCGGUGAAAUGCGUAGAGAUCGGGAGGAAUACCAGUGGCGAAGGCGGCCUUCUGGACUGACACUGACACUGAGGUGCGAAAGCGUGGGUAGCAAACAGGAUUAGAUACCCCAGUAGUC